rnacentral:rRNA from 1 species
UACGUAGGGGCCUAGCGUUGUCCGGAUUUAUUGGGCGUAAAGAGCGUGUAGGCGGUCAGGUAGGUCCGUUGUGAAAACUCGAGGCUCAACCUCGAGACGCCGAUGGAAACCAUCUGACUAGAGUCCGGAAGAGGAGAGUGGAAUUCCUGGUGUAGCGGUGAAAUGCGCAGAUAUCAGGAGGAACACCAAUUGCGAAGGCAGCUCGCUGGGACGUAACUGACGCUGAGACGCGAAAGCGUGGGGAGCAAACAGG